rnacentral:rRNA from 1 species
CUACGGGUGGCAGCAGUGGGGAAUAUUGGACAAUGGGGGGAAACCCUGAUCCAGCAAUGCCGCGUGUGUGAAGAAGGCCUGCGGGUUGUAAAGCACUUUCGGUUGGGAGGACUGCUUCUAGCACUAAUAUUGUUGGAAGUUGACGUUACCUUCAGAAGAAGCACCGGCUAACUCCGUGCCAGCAGCCGCGGUAAUACGGAGGGUGCAAGCGUUAAUCGGAAUUACUGGGCGUAAAGCGCGCGUAGGCGGCUAGAUCAGUCGGUUGUGAAAGCCCCGGGCUUAACCUGGGAACUGCAUCCGAUACUGUCUAGAUUGAGUACAGGAGAGGAGAGUGGAAUUCCACAUGUAGCGGUGAAAUGCGUAGAUAUGUGGAGGAACACCAAUGGCGAAGGCAGCUCUCUGGCCUGAUACUGACGCUGAGGUGCGGAAGCGUGGGGAGCAAACAGGAUUAGAUACCCCAGUAGUC